rnacentral:tRNA from 1 species
ACGCGGAGCGUGCCCAGGCCCGCACAAUCCCCGGUGCCCUCGGUGCGACGGGCGCCCUCUCGAUGAGGCCGCCUACUCCUACCUGCU